CUCAGAGAAAGUAUAUAAAGAGGAACAUGGCUUAGCUUCAGCAUGGAGAAGCCCCUAGUGAGUCAGAAUUAGCAUUCACAGGUGACGAGUCUGCGGUUCCAGUUUCAGUGGUAAAGAGAAAUGAAGAAAUUCAUCUUCCUCGCUUUAGCUGUGAUGAUGAUGAUGCUCGGCCUGGCUGCCGGAGCGUGUGAUAUACUGUGCACGAGGAUCUACCUGCCUGUGUGCGCUGGAAACGGCGUCACGACGAAAACUUUCUCCAACCCCUGCAUGUUGGACAUCUACAACUGUGAAAACCCGGAGACUCAAUUACUUCAACUGCGAACUGGUGCUUGUGAAUUUUGAAGGACGGACACUGGCGAAAGAAGUGAAAGAAUUUCGAUUUGGAAUAAGAGAUUCAGAAUGGCUAUGUAAUUUGGGAAAAAAGGAAAUUCAUAUAUAUUAAAUUAUGACUGUACUUCCUCA